rnacentral:rRNA from 1 species
UACGGGGGGGGCAAGCGUUGUUCGGAAUUACUGGGCGUAAAGGGCUCGUAGGUGGCCAACUAAGUCAGACGUGAAAUCCCCAGGCUUAACCUGGGAACUGCGUCUGAUACUGGAUGGCUUGAAUUCGGGAGAGGGAUGCAGAAUUCCAGGUGUAGCGGUGAAAUGCGUAGAUAUCAGGAAGAACACCAAUGGCGAAGGCAGCUCUCUGGGACGGUACUGACGCUGAGACGCGAAAGCGUGGGGAGCGAACAGG